rnacentral:rRNA from 1 species
GGAUUUCUGUCGUGGUCAUCCGGCUCCGCCUGUAUAGGUGUGCGCCUGUUUGCCCUCGGCUUUCUUCCGGUAGCCUACCGCGCUUCACUGCGUGCGUGGGUGUUUUCCGGAACUUUUACUUUGAGAAAAAUAGAGUGUUUCAAGCAGGCUUGUCGCCCUGAAUACUUCAGCAUGGGAUAAUAAGAUAGGACCUUGGUUCUAUUUUGUUGGUCUCUAGGACCAAGGUAAUGGUUAAUAGGGACAGUUGGGGGCAUUCGUAUUUAACUGUCAGAGGUGAAAUUCUUAGAUUUGUUAAAGACGAACUACUGCGAAAGCAUUUGCCAAGGAUGUUUUCAUUAAUCAAGAACGACAGUAGGGGGUUUGAAGACGAUUAGAUACCGUCGUAAUCUCUACCAUAAACUAUGCCGACUAGAGAUAGGGAAUCCAUUAGCCCAAUCUUCCCUGCACCUCAUGAGAAAUCAAAGUCUCUGGGUUCUGGGGGGAGUAUGGUCGCAAGGCUGAAACUUAAAG